GAUAUAUGUUUUUCCGGUUGGUCUCAACCCUAAGUUUGAUAUUGUCCGCAGACAUAUACUGGAGCAAGCAAAGACCUAUACCCUCUCUGGUCGAGGUUUGUUCUGAGGCUCACCUUGAGGAUCGCACCAAUGGUAUGAGUAGUCUAACAACCCCGCCAUUAAUUCUACUGCCCUCAGUGCGAAGUCCCCUAGUCAUGGUAGUGAGAGGCACAAUGGAAAACCGAUCCCUAUUUGUGAGCAUUGUAAGAAAUAAUGGCAUACCAUGAGCAGUGUUGGAAGUUACAUGGUCAUUCCUCAAGAGGUAACAGAUGCUCUUCCAACGACAAACAGAACCCAGGACAAGCUUAUGUGAGUGAGUCGUCUCCCACCCCUUCUCAGCCACCUAGGAGCCCAACCCGACUACACUAGGAGCUAUUGUCCAAAAAAUUAUAUCUCAGUCCUUCAGUCUUAUUAGUGUAGAUGAGAAGAACAUCUGGAUCCUGGACUUUGGCGCCACAAAUCAUUUGACAGACUUUAGCUCCGGGAGGAUGAUUGGCACUGUUCGACACAGCAGAAGACUACCUAGUUGAUGAUGAUCUCCUUCCUAGAUUUCUAGGAUUAGUCUUUUAUCUUCACACUUUGCUACUUUCAAAAGGCGAUAUGUUGUAGCACUUUUGUCUAGGUCAUCCCAACUUUCAAUACAUGAAGCACUUAUUUCAUCGUCUUUUUUCUAAA